rnacentral:siRNA from 1 species
ACUGUGACAUGUGGUAUCUCAG